rnacentral:sRNA from 1 species
AGAGAGAGGGGAGAUCACUCAGUCCAGCAGCUGACACCGGAGUCUAACCUUAAGCCCAAG